rnacentral:Y_RNA from 1 species
GCCACGAAUGCCGCUGGCGCUACUUUGUGUCGCGGGUUCGAGUCCCGCCAUCGCGUCAGCGAUGUAGCUCAGUCGGUAGAGUAAAAGUCUGGCCUUGUGCCAGGCGUCGGCACCCUUGUCGCGGCCAC